ACCGGGACCACGGAUGCUCUUCAUUUUCCUUUUCAGCGAGAGUGAGAGAGAGAGACCACAUGGACUCAGUCAUGAGACAAUUCAACAUGGCUGCCACUGACCCUGCUAACAGCUGCAAUUUUCUAAUCAAAAUGACAUUUUUCAGCCUUGCGAUGUUUUCUGAUCUCCUUCAUGCCAGAGACAUGGAUAGAGAAGAGGAAAGACUUUAAAAACAAAACAAAACAGGGAUUUUGUUUCAUACUCACGUGGGAGGAAAUGAGACAAUUAAAGCACCUCUGACUUAAAGGUUAAAGGUGUCUUCCUCAGCUUGCGUGGAGAUGUGUAACCACUAUCUCAAAAGAUUCAAUUAUUUGAUCAUAUGCAAAUCAUAAGGCCCCAGCAGUGGUUUGAUGAUUGCGUCCGCUCUACUGUUUGCAACAUGGCUGCCUCCUGCUCUCGAACGCCUAUUCCAUCAAUACCAGCGAGCAAGAUUCGAGCCUAAAUACAGCGAAGGCUUAUGACAAACCUUGCAACACAGGCUCAGUGCUGACAGAGUGGCAGGCAGGCGGGCACCCACUUCCUUCUGCUACUGCCUUCCUCUGGUCACACCUUCUUUGUAACAUUGCGGUUCUCUUUACAAGAAAUUGUUACCAAAGACGAGGACAAAAAAAAAAAACACAAAAAAAAAAACGAUCACAUGCCCCGAGCAGCUGAUCUCUGUUUCCUGUAUCUGCAUGUCAGCCAAAAUACUGCCUUAUACAGAAACACCGAGAGGAGAAGAGGCCCCGGCAAACCAGUUCAAGGACUGAAGGCUUUGUCUUCAGACUGAACAUAAAGCUGACAGGAACAGAGUCAGAACUUUGGCUGGAGUUCAAGUUGACCUCGUUGCUCUGUGCAAAUAUCUGCCACUAGAUGGCGAUGGAGACCACUGCACAGACUACUGGAUGGAUACUGUAAAGCCCAGAGGGUCCUGUACAGUAAAGAGAGAGCCAUUGUGGGACAAUCCACUGUGAGGCUUUUCGCUUUGCAUGCACCUUUUGAUGACGGCGCAGUCCAAAAGUGGAGGCUGGACCACAGAAAUCAGUGAAAUGAGAACAAACCCUGUGAUGUUUUUGAGCUGAAUUGUUUGAAAUGAACACAUUUUAAUUGAAUUAAUACCUUAAAAUUGUAAAAAUAAACCCCUUAACAUGAUGUAGAAAAAGAUGAACAUGAAGAUGUAUGUCUGGCUUUAACCAGCUGAUGAUGACAGCAUGAAUCCUCAGAGUUGUGACUGUGAAUUUAAGUGAAAAUGUGUUGAACCAACUUGUUGCUUACCAGCAGCUCUUGUGGUCUGAUGGAGUUAUCUGUGUAGAUGCAAAGCUUCUCUGCGGUUAAUGGACGAGUCUCUUUCAAUUUGGAUGCAAGAAACAUGCACACUGCUCCCAGCAGCUGCAGGUUACACUUUUUGGUGGGUACCACGGCUAAAAAUCUGUCUAAGUAGUUCAUGG